rnacentral:rRNA from 1 species
GAUGAACGCUAGCUACAGGCUUAACACAUGCAAGUCGAGGGACCGGCGCAUGGUUGCGUAACACGUAUCCAACCUGCCCUUUACCCGGGGAUAGCCUUUCGCAAGAAAGGUUAAUACCCUAUAUAAAGGGUGGGGAUGCGUUCCAUUAGGUUGUUGGUGAUGUAACGGCUCACAAACCUUUCGAUGGUUAGGGGUUCUGAGAGGAAGGUCCCCCACAUUGGAGCUGAGACACGGUCCAAACUCCUACGGGAGGCAGGAGUGAGGAAUAUUGGUCAAUGGGCGGUAGCCUGAACCAGCCAAGUAGCGUGAAGGAUGAAGGCUUAUGGGUCGUAAACUUCUUUUAUAUAAGAAUAUGUAUUAUAUGAAUAAGGAUCGGCUAACUCCGUGCCAGCAGCCGCGGUAAUUC